GAUGAACGCUGGCGGCGUGCCUAACACAUGCAAGUCGAACGGAAAGACAAUGAGCUUGUGCUCUUAACGGUAGCGGAUGGCGGGAGGGUGACGCGUGGAUCAGCAUCUUCUUUUUCGGGGAGGAUAACGUAAGGAAGGUUACAAUACUACGGCAUAUGAUGUACCGGUGGGAGCAAUGGAGAUUCGCGGCUUUCGUGUCUGAAUUAGCCGCGGCCGGGCUAGCUAGUUGGGUGGGUAAGGGCCCAGCAAGGCGACGAUCCGUAGCCGGACUGAGAGGAUGAUCGGCCACACUGGAACUGAGACACGGUCCAGACUCCUACGGGAGGCAGCAGUAGGGAAUAUUAGGCAAUGGGCGCAAGCCUGACCCAGCCAUACCGCGUGGGUGAAGAAGGCCUUCGGGUCGUAAAGCCCUUUUGUUGGGAAAGAACAGCUGUGGGUUAAUACCUCGCUGUUCUGACGGUACCCAAUGAAUAAGCACCGGCUAACUACGUG
rnacentral:rRNA from 1 species